rnacentral:misc_RNA from 1 species
UCUCCGUUGGUGAACCAGCGGAGGGAUCAUUACAGGACUCGCAAGACUCCUACAACCCUGUGAACUUAACUAUAAGCACGUUGCUUCGGCGGGUGUCUCGGAGGGGGUUCUCCCUCCCCGAGACGCUAAACCCGCCGGCAGCCUACUAUACUCUGUCUCUUUGCGUUGGCAUCUCGAGUACAAUCAAACAAGUUAAAACUUUCAACAACGGAUCUCUUGGUUCUA